rnacentral:rRNA from 1 species
AGAGUUUGAUCAUGGCUCAGGAUGAACGCUGGCGGCGUGCCUAACACAUGCAAGUCCAGCGAUUCUCUUCGGAGAAGAGCGGCGGACGGGUGAGUAACGCGUGGGUAACCUGCCCUGUACACACGGAUAACAUACCGAAAGGUAUGCUAAUACGGGAUAACAUAUUUUGAUGGCAUCAUCGAAAUAUCAAAGCUCCGGCGGUACAGGAUGGACCCGCGUCUGAUUAGCUAGUUGGUGAGGUAACGGCUCACCAAGGCGACGAUCAGUAGCCGACCUGAGAGGGUGAUCGGCCACAUUGGAACUGAGACACUGUCCAAACUCCUACGGGAGGCAGCAGUGGGGAAUAUUGCACAAUGGGCGAAAGCCUGAUGCAGCAACGCCGCGUGAGCGAUGAAGGCCUUCGGGUCGUAAAGCUCUGUCCUCAAGGAAGAUAAUGACGGUACUUGAGGAGGAAGCCCCGGCUAACUACGUGCCAGCAGCCGCGGUAAUACGUAGGGGGCUAGCGUUAUCCGGAAUUACAGGGCGUAAAGGGUGCGUAGGUGGUUUUUUAAGUCAGAAGUGAAAGGCUACGGCUCAACCGUAGUAAGCUUUUGAAACUGAGAAACUUGAGUGCAGGAGAGGAGAGUAGAAUUCCUAGUGUAGCGGUGAAAUGCGUAGAUAUUAGGAGGAAUACCAGUUGCGAAGGCGGCUCUCUGGACUGUAACUGACACUGAGGCACGAAAGCGUGGGGAGCAAACAGGAUUAGAUACCCUGGUAGUCCACGCUGUAAACGAUGAAUACUAGGUGUCGGGGACCUUCCGGUCUUCGGUGCCGUCGCUAACGCAUUAAGUAUUCCGCCUGGGAAGUACGCUCGCAAGAGUGAAACUCAAAUGA